CCUCCCUGGCAACGGGCAAAGAGGCACCUUGUUGGUGGUGUUGCUCUUAUGUCAGUCAGGGCCAGAGCAGAUGACAGUCCUUUGUUUAGCUUAAUGCCUGGCUUGGUAGCCAAAGCUGUUUCAUGCCUAGGGCACAUUA